rnacentral:rRNA from 1 species
UGUAAGCGUAUACCAAAGUUGUUGCAGUUAAAACGCUCGUAGUCGGAAUUUGGCAGUUCCGGAUGUGUGCACGUCGUGUGCGCACUUCGCGGGGAUUGCUUUUGUGGUCUUGCGUAGGAUGAGGCACUUUUAUUAGUGAACGUCCUCACGCAACCACUUUUUACUGUGAGAAAAUCAGAGUGCUCAAAGCAGGCAUUUGCCGUGAAUGUAUUAGCAUGGAAUAAUAGAAUAGGACUUGGUUCUAUUUUGUUGGUUUGUAGGGACUGAGUAAUGAUUAAGAGGGACAGUUGGGGGCAUUUGUAUUUCGGUGCUAGAGGUGAAAUUCUUAGAUUACCGAAAGACAAACUGCUGCGAAAGCGUCUGCCAAGGAUGUUUUCAUUGA